GAUGAAGAACGUAGCGAAAUGCGAUAAGUAAUGUGAAUUGCAGAAUUCAGUGAAUCAUCGAAUCUUUGAACGCACAUUGCGCCCCCCGGCAUUCCGGGGAGCAUGCCUGUUCGAGCGUCAUUACAACCCUCAGGCCCCCGGGCCUGGCGUUGGGGAUCGGCGGAGCCCCCCGUGGGCACACGCCGUCCCCCAAAUGCAGUGGCGGUCCCGCCGCAGCUUCCAUCGCGUAGUAGCUAACACCUCGCGACUGGAGAGCGGCGCGGCCACGCCGUAAAACACCCAACUCUUCUGAAGUUGACCUCGAAUCAGGUAGGAAUACCCGCUGAACUUAAGCAUAUCAAUAAGCGGAGGA
rnacentral:misc_RNA from 1 species